UACGGAUCCUGGAGUAAAUGAACCUACAGUUGGGAAAGUCCUCCUCAAGUCUAGAGGCUUUUUUACGGAAGAAUAUUGGUUUUGGAUUUGCGUUGGGGCACUCUUUGGAUUUUCUCUUCUUUUCAACAUUUUAUUCAUUGCAUCUUUGACCUAUUUGAACCCUUUUGGAGAUACGAACGCUGUCAUUAGUGUAGAUCAUGAAGAAAAGGACAAAAAGAACAAGAAUUCAGACUCCUCUAGCCAAAAAGUGUCGGUGGGGAAUUCGAACUCAAAACCUCAACAUGAAAGU